GACGAACGCUGGCGGCGUGCUUAACACAUGCAAGUCGAACGGCAAGGCCCUGCUUUUUUUGGGUUCUCGAGUGGCGAACGUGUGAGUAACCCGUGAGUAACCUGCCCUUUACUUUGUGAUAACUUCAUGAAACUGGUGCUAAUACCGGAUAUGAUCUCCUGCUGCAUGGUGUUGUUUGGAAAUUUUCGGCGGUUGGGGAUGGACUCGCGGCUUAUCAGCUUGUUGGUGGGGUAGUGGCUUACCAAGGCUUUGACGGGUAGCCGGCAUGAGAGGGUGACCGGCCACAUUGGGACGGAGAUACGGCACAGAGUCGAACGGGAGGCAGCAGUGGGGAAUAUUGCACAAUGGGCGGAAGCCUGAUGCAGCAACGCCGCGUGCGGGAUGACGGCCUUCGGGUUGUAAACCGCUUUAGCAUGUGACGAAGCGUGAGUGACGGUAAUGGGUAAAGAAGCACCGGCUAACUACGUG
rnacentral:rRNA from 1 species